CCUAGUUUUUUAUAGAUUAGAUUCAACUUGUCACAAGUACAGAGCAACGCAGUGUAGUUAGUGUCUAUCCAGAAGUGAUGAAAUGCAUAUUAAAUAACAUGUGCUACAGUAUCAAUAAAUAACAUGUGCUACAGAGUGCAAGGUAUGAAUGAUAAGUGUCUAUUACUACAGGUAUGUACAGUAUAUGGACAGGCUGGAUAAUUAACCUGGUGUUUUAGUGAAAAGGUUUGAGUCUAAGUAGGACUUGUGCCACCUGAUAAAGGUUCCACAAUAAUUUGAAGCCAUAUUAUGUUAUUCUUUUUUUUGGAAUGCAGUGAUUGACAUUUGUAAUCAUACAAAGUAAUGACUUUCACCGUUUCCAGGUUUUCCUCCAGUUUUGCAUCAGAUUUUUCUUUGAAAAUGAUCACUUAGUUGUAGCAUAUGACCACCAAUCUACCU